CCUUGGGUUUAUAAGUUCUUCUCUUCUUUUUCUUUGAAGAUGAUUCACCAUCAAUAUCUCAUUUCCUCUUCAAAUCAAUUUCUCUAACCAUUGUAGAAAUAGGAGUCAGAUUUCGGAGUGAAAAAGUUAAAAUCGGAACAGCUAGGGUUUCUGCUAUUUGUGAAUUAGGGUUUUUGUAGUAAUAUCAACGAAUAGAAGAAGGAGAAGGCGAAAAAAGGACGGGCACGACAUGAAAUCGGCAAUUUGGAUCCAAAAAGCUUAGGGCUUCUGCUAUUGCGAUCCACGCAAACUGGUGUUUAUGGUACACCACGAAUAGGAGAAUGAGGAGACAAUGGAUGAAGACAAAAGCAGCGGUAACGGACGGAGGUGAAAACUGCAGAAAAUGGCAUGAGAAAAAUCGCGAAGGAGAGCAGAGAGAGGCAGGGCGUUUUUAUGUCUUUUUGUACUAAUUGAAGAUUGG
rnacentral:lncRNA from 1 species